rnacentral:rRNA from 1 species
UCCCCUAGUAACUGCGAGUGAAGCGGGAAAAGCUCAAAUUUGAAAUCUGGCAGUCUUUUUUUUCUUCUUUGGCUGUCCGAGUUGUAAUCUAGAGAAGUGCUUACCUGCGCUGGACCAUGUAUAAGUCUCCUGGAAUGGAGCGUCACAGAGGGUGAGAAUCCCGUCUUUGACAUGGACUGCCAGUGUGUUGUGGUGUGCUCUCAAAGAGUCGAGUUGUUUGGGAAUGCAGCUCUAAAUGGGUGGUAAACUCCAUCUAAAGCUAAAUAUUGGCGAGAGACCGAUAGUGAACAAGUACCGUGAGGGAAAGAUGAAAAGGACUUUGGAAAGAGAGUUAAACAGUAUGUGAAAUUGUUGAAAGGGAAACGCUUGAAGUCAGUUAUGUUGGCUAGGGAUCAACCUAGCUAAUUUUUUUGCUGGGUGAAUUUCCUAGUCUGACAGGCCAACAUCNAGNNUCUUGACUGCUGGAAAANNGAGCANGAGGGNAAUGUGGCACCUUUGGGUGUGUUAUAGCCCUUUGUCANUAUGUGGCAGUUGGGACUGAGGGAUGCNAGCAUGNCCGUGANGGCUNGGGUUUUUAANCCACGUUCAUGCUUAGGAUGUUGGCUUUUAAUGGCUUCAAUCGACCCGUCUUGAAACACGGACCAAGGAGUCUAACAUGCCUGCGAGUGUUUGGGUGGGGANAAACCCUUGUGCACAAUGAAAGUGAAAGUUGAGAUCCCUGUCAUGGGGAGCAUCGACGCCCGGACCUGAGCUUUUAGCGACGGAUCCGCGGUAGAGCAUGCAUGUUGGGACCCGAAAGAUGGUGAAACUAUGCCUNGAANUAGGGCAAANGCCNAGNAGGAAANCUNCUGNGUGGAGGCUCGUAGCGAUUCUGACGUGCAAAUCGAUCGUCAAAUUUGGGUAUAGGGGCGAAAGACUAAUCGAACCAUCUAGUAGCUGGUUCCUGCCGAAGUUUCCCUCAGGAUAGCAGAAGCUUAUUAUCAGAUUUAUGUGGUAAAGCGAAUGAUUAGAGGCCUUGGGGUUGAAACAACCUUAACCUAUUCUCAAACUUUAAAUAUGUAAGAACGAGUUGUCACUUGACUGGACUGCUCGGUGAUUGAGAGCUUCUAGUGGGCCAUUUUUGGUAAGCAGAACUGGCGAUGCGGGAUGAACCGAUCGCAAGGUUAAGGUGCCAGAGUUCACGCUCAUCAGACACCACAAAAGGUGUUAGUUCAUCUAGACAGCAGGACGGUGGCCAUGGAAGUCGGAACCCGCUAAGGAGUGUGUAACAACUCACCUGCCGAAUGAACUAGCCCUGAAAAUGGAUGGCGCUUAAGCGUGACACCCAUACCUUGCUGUCAGUGUUGAAGUGAUGCACUGACAAGUAGGCAGGCGUGGAGGUCAGUGAAGAAGC